CGGAGGAUCCAAGCGUUAUCCGGAAUCAUUGGGUUUAAAGGGUCCGUAGGCGGGUUUAUAAGUCAGUGGUGAAAGCCCAUCGCUCAACGAUGGAACGGCCAUUGAUACUGUAGAUCUUGAAUUAUUAGGAAGUAACUAGAAUAUGUAGUGUAGCGGUGAAAUGCUUAGAGAUCACAUGGAAUACCAAUUGCGAAGGCAGGUUACUACUAAUGGAUUGACGCUGAUGGACGAAAGCGUGGGUAGCGAACAGGAUUAGAUACCCUGGUAGUCCACGCCGUAAACGAUGGAUACUAGCUGUUCGGAGCAAUCUGAGUGGCUAAGCGAAAGUGAUAAGUAUCCCACCUGGGGAGUACGUUCGCAAGAAUG
rnacentral:rRNA from 1 species